rnacentral:rRNA from 1 species
UACGUAGGGGGCAAGCGUUGUCCGGAAUCAUUGGGCGUAAAGAGCGUGUAGGCGGCCCGGUAAGUCCGCUGUGAAAGUCGGGGGCUCAACCCUCGAAUGCCGGUGGAUACUGUCGGGCUAGAGUGCGGAAGAGGCGGGUGGAAUUCCUGGUGUAGCGGUGGAAUGCGCAGAUAUCAGGAGGAACACCAACGGCGAAGGCAGCCCGCUGGGACGGUACUGACGCUAAGGCGCGAAAGCGUGGGGAGCGAACAGG